UUCGCCACUUUAAUGUGUGUGUAAACUAAGAAACCAUCAUCAGACACAUACAUAAUAUUAUAUCACUGUCAUACAGCUAGAUAAAGAGAAUGAAAUUCGCCACUUUGAUGUGUGUGUAAACUAAGAAACCAUCAGACACAUACAUAAUAUUAUAUCACUGUCGUACAACUAGGUAAAGAGAAUGAAAUUCGCCACUUUAAUGUGUGUGUAAACUAAGAAACCAUCAGACACAUACAUAAUAUUAUAUCACUGUCGUACAACUAGGUAAAGAGAAUGAAAUUCGCCACUUUAAUGUGUGUGUAAACUAAGAAACCAUCAGACACAUACAUA